rnacentral:rRNA from 1 species
AUGGUCAUGGUCAUCCUCAUCCUAGCCUUCCGGCUCUCCACUCUUCUCCUCCUCCUCCUCGCGGGCAGCCGGGUCGUGGUCGUCGCUGAGCCUGAUGCCUCCCCACCAGGCACCGAGGCGGCGGCGCUCCUGCGCCUCAAGGCGUCGUUCAAGGACCCGACCAACGCGCUAGAGGCGUGGUCACCGUUGUUGCCCCCGGCGCCGUGCAACGCCGCUAGACCUUGGCCUGGGGUGCAGUGCUACAAGGGCAGCCUCAUCGGCCUCCGGCUGGUGCACCUUAACCUCUCCGGCGCAUUCGACUUUGCUGCGCUCGCCAACCUACCGGGCCUGCACUCAAUCAACCUCAGGCGCAACGCCUUCGCAGGCCCGAUACCGGCGAGCCUCGCCACCGUCCGCAGCCUCCGUGCGUUGUAUCUGUCGCACAACGCCUUCACCGGCCCUAUCCCCGGCGACGUGUUUGCCAACAUGCGCUGGCUCAAGAAGCUCUACCUCGACAACAACGACCUGUCCGGCCCGCUGCCAGCGGCCGCCAUCGCCGGCGCGCCGCGCCUCAUCGAGCUCCACCUCGACCACAACAAGAUCGAGGGCGCCGUCCCCGAGCUCCUCCCCAAGUCUCUCCGGCUGUUCAACGUGUCGCACAACCGCCUCACGGGCGUGCUCCCGCGCUCUGUCGCCACGCGGUUCAACGAGUCGGCGUUUGCCGGUAACCCAACCCUGUGCGGGGCUCCAGGGAGCGACGCCAAGGCCUGCGCACCAGUGGCCGCACCGGUGGCCGCGCCGGCGCCCUCGUUGAUGCCGCCGAUGACGGCGGCGGACUACUUCGCCGUGGAGGAGGAGACCAGCAUCGUCGUCGUGAUCGGUAUCAUCCUGCUCGUCAUCGCGCUGGUCUCCGGGGCGAUGGUCCUCAUGCUGCAGCAAGACGAGCAGCGGAACAGCGCGCCGCUGCCGCCGUACUACGACGCCCCUGUCGCCAGCGGCGGCAUCGCCCCCAAGCCGGCCGUGACAGCCGCGCCUCGCACCUCAGGGGUGGCGAUGGAAACAGGCGGGUCCAGCCGCGGCGGCAGCAGCAGCCAGGGCUCGGCACGUGGUGGUGCCGGCGGCAAGCGGAUGGACGAGUUCGUCCUGAUGAGCAAGUCGAGCGGCGAGUUCGGGCUGCAGGACAUGAUGAAGGCUUCGGCGGAGGUGCUCGGCAACGGCACACUCGGGUCCGCGUACAAGGCCGCCAUGCGAAACGGCAUCACCGUGGCCGUGAAGCGCAUGCGCGACAUGAACCGCGUCGGCCGCCAGGAGUUCGAGAACCACCUCCGCGUGCUCGGAGAGCUCCGCCACCCCAACGUGCUGGCUCCCCUCGGCUACCAUUACCGCAAGGAGGAGAAGCUCAUCGUCUCUGAGCUCAUGCCACGCGGCAGCCUCCUCUACGUCCUCCACGGGGACCAGAGCCCCAACAGGGUGGUGCUGGACUGGCUGACGCGACUGAGGAUCGCCCUCGGCGCGGCGCGGGGCAUGGCAUACCUCCACGAGAAGCUCGGCAUGCCGACGAUGCGGUUCGUGAGCAUGGACGGCGCCGACUUCGAUGCGCCGUCCCCGCCGCCGCCUCACGGGAACCUUAAGUCCGGAAAUAUCCUCCUCGAUGCCAACCUGGAGCCGCACAUCGCGGACUACGGCUUCUUCCCGCUCGUCAACACGCCGCAGGCGCCUCAGGCCUUGUUCGCGUUCCGAUCGCCGGAGGCUGUCGCCGCGCUCCAGCAGCAACAGCGCGUGCCUGUUUCGGCCAGGUCCGACGUGUACUGCUUCGGCGUCGUGCUGCUCGAGCUCAUCACGGGAAGAUUCCCCUCGCAGUACCUCCUCAACGCGCGCGGUGGCACAGACGUCGUACACUGGGCGGCUGCGGCGGUGACCGAGGGCAGUGAGCACGAGGUCAUCGACCCCGUCAUCGCCGCGGCCGGCGGGGGCUCCGUCGUGCAGCUGGUGCGUAUCGCCGUUGAAUGCACCGACCCCGCGCCGGAGAGCCGGCCCAACAUGGCAGAGGUGGCGAGGAUGGUGGAAGAGGUCGCCAGCGCCUCCGGCGCGUCGUGA